AAGUCGUAACAAGGUUUCUGUAGGUGAACCUGCAGAAGGAUCAUUAGUGAAUUAAUAGAGCGUCCUUUGGGAGCUCGAACAUCACUUUUAAACACACACCGUGAACUGUAACCGUUUUUUUUUACGCAUACAAGUAAAUAGCAAGUCUCCUGUGUAUUGCAGGUAACAUAAAUAAAUAAAACUUUCAACAACGGAUGUCUUGGCUCUC
rnacentral:misc_RNA from 1 species